CUUGCACAUGCAGCUGCUACAAAUAACAGAACUAAGGUUGCACCUCUGCUCUCCCACAGAGCUUGGCUGCUGCUGACCGAGGUCAUAGCUGGGAAUGAGUAGCAAAUAGCCAGGCCCCUUUGGCUGUCCAGGUGACAACAGAUGCAUGGUUGGGUCGCAGGGGACAGUGUAAGAAGCCAGAACAUUGCCCCGCUGCUAUGUCUGGGCACGGGGUAACAGCUACCAGUUGCUAUGUCACAAGAGGUAUUCUGAUGCUAGAACACACCGCUGCUACGCAAUGCAGGCAGCUCCAGCAGGGUUGUGAAGGGCCAGAAGACUUUCGAGCUGGCUUUUCUGCAACAUGACUGAGCAGGUGCAGCAGCCCCAGAUUGAGCAGACGAAGCAUUCGAUAAUGACAUUACCUAAGAAUUGGAAGCUUAUCCUUGGGAAUGGUUUUACAAGUAGGCAGCUGCCUACAGAGCGUGAUUUCAAGAAUAAUGAAAAGCCCCCCCACCCCCACCCCAAAAUAGCUCCCCAGCUGGCUCUGCCAAAGCCCACCCUUGCCCAAUUUGUCACUGCUCUGAGCAAAAAGCAUGGAGGGUCUUGUUAAAAUGCAAAUGGCUUUGGGAAGAGUCAGGCAUAAAGACACUCAUUUCAGUUCAAAUCGGCUGAUCAAAGUAACUCAUCCAUCAUCUAACAUAAGACUGUUGUGACUAAGA